AUACGGAGGGUGCAAGCGUUAAUCGGAAUUACUGGGCGUAAAGCGCGCGUAGGCGGCUGAUUAAGUCGGAUGUGAAAUCCCUGGGCUCAACCUAGGAACUGCAUCCGAUACUGGUCAGCUAGAGUUUUGGAGAGGUAAGUGGAAUUUCCGGUGUAGCGGUGAAAUGCAUAGAGAUCGGAAGGAACACCAGUGGCGAAGGCGACUUACUGGCCAAAAACUGACGCUGAGGUGCGAAAGCGUGGGUAGCAAACGGGAUUAGAAACCCUAGUAGUCC
rnacentral:rRNA from 1 species